rnacentral:rRNA from 1 species
CAGACACUAAAGCAGAUCAGCUAUUAAUACCCUGUAACAUAAGGCACGAAUAAGAUGAUUCCUGCCCUAAUGUCUUCGGUUGGGGCGACCGCGGAGAAAUAUAUAACCCCCGCAAGGACUGAAUGUAUUACAUUCACAACCAAGAGUGACAACUCUAAUUAACAGAACUUCUGACCAAUAAGAUCCGGCAAUGCCGAUUAAUGAACCAAGUUACCCC